rnacentral:rRNA from 1 species
GACGAGGCACUACGGUGCUGAAGCAACAAAUGCCCUGCUUCCAGGAAAAGCCUCUAAGCAUCAGGUAACAUCAAAUCGUACCCCAAACCGACACAGGUGGUCAGGUAGAGAAUACCAAGGCGCUUGAGAGAACUCGGGUGAAGGAACUAGGCAAAAUGGUGCCGUAACUUCGGGAGAAGGCACGCUGACAUGUAGGUGAAGUGAUUUACUCAUGGAGCUGAAGUCAGUCGAAGAUACCAGCUGGCUGCAACUGUUUAUUAAAAACACAGCACUGUGCAAACACGAAAGUGGACGUAUACGGUGUGACGCCUGCCCGGUGCCGGAAGGUUAAUUGAUGGGGUCAGCGCAAGCGAAGCUCCUGAUCGAAGCCCCGGUAAACGGCGGCCGUAACUAUAACGGUCCUAAGGUAGCGAAAUUCCUUGUCGGGUAAGUUCCGACCUGCACGAAUGGCGUAAUGAUGGCCAGGCUGUCUCCACCCGAGACUCAGUGAAAUUGAACUCGCUGUGAAGAUGCAGUGUACCCGCGGCAAGACGGAAAGACCCCGUGAACCUUUACUAUAGCUUGACACUGAACAUUGAGCCUUGAUGUGUAGGAUAGGUGGGAGGCUUUGAAGUGUGGACGCCAGUCUGCAUGGAGCCGACCUUGAAAUACCACCCUUUAAUGUUUGAUGUUCUAACGUGGACCCGUGAUCCGGGUUGCGGACAGUGUCUGGUGGGUAGUUUGACUGGGGCGGUCUCCUCCUAAAGAGUAACGGAGGAGCACGAAGGUUGGCUAAUCCUGGUCGGACAUCAGGAGGUUAGUGCAAUGGCAUAAGCCAGCUUGACUGCGAGCGUGACGGCGCGAGCAGGUGCGAAAGCAGGUCAUAGUGAUCCGGUGGUUCUGAAUGGAAGGGCCAUCGCUCAACGGAUAAAAGGUACUCCGGGGAUAACAGGCUGAUACCGCCCAAGAGUUCAUAUCGACGGCGGUGUUUGGCACCUCGAUGUCGGCUCAUCACAUCCUGGGGCUGAAGUAGGUCCCAAGGGUAUGGCUGUUCGCCAUUUAAAGUGGUACGCGAGCUGGGUUUAGAACGUCGUGAGACAGUUCGGUCCCUAUCUGCCGUGGGCGCUGGAGAACUGAGGGGGGCUGCUCCUAGUACGAGAGGACCGGAGUGGACGCAUCACUGGUGUUCGGGUUGUCAUGCCAAUGGCACUGCCCGGUAGCUAAAUGCGGAAGAGAUAAGUGCUGAAAGCAUCUAAGCACGAAACUUGCCCCGAGAUGAGUUCUCCCUGAGACUUAGAGUCUCCUGAAGGAACGUUGAAGACGACGACGUUGAUAGGCCGGGUGUGUAAGCGCAGCGAUGCGUUGAGCUAACCGG